GUGGAUUAGAUACCCUGGUAGUCCACGCGGUAAACGAUGAAUACUAGGUGUCGGGGGUCAAAAGACCUCCGGUGCCGUCGCAAACGCAUUAAGUAUUCCACCUGGGGAGUACGUUCGCAAGAAUGAAACUCAAAGGAAUUGACGGGGACCCGCACAAGCGGUUGAGCAUGUGGUUUAAUUCGAAGCAACGCGAAGAACCUUACCAGGUCUUGACAUCCCUCUGACCGGUCCUUAACCGGACCUUUCCUUCGGGACAGAGGAGACAGGUGGUGCACGGUUGUCGUCAGCU
rnacentral:rRNA from 1 species